GUUUAGAUAGCUCAGCUGGAUAGAGCGUCGGACUUCGAAUCCGUAGGUCAUACCUUUCCCGUUUUCCAAUAAAACCAAUAACUUACUGAAUCCAAACAAUUUUAAGCG
rnacentral:tRNA from 1 species